GAUGAACGCUGGCGGCGUGCCUAACACAUGCAAGUCGAGCGAGAUUUUGAGGAGUAGAGACUUCGGUCAAAGCGAGUCAAAUGAAAGCGGCGGACGGGUGAGUAACGCGUGAGCAAUCUGCCCCAUACAAAGGGAUACCCACUGGAAUCGGUGAUUAAUACCUUAUAAGACCACAGAGUCGCAUGGCUCAGGGGUCAAAGAUUUAUCGGUAUGGGAUGAGCUCGCGUCUGAUUAGCUAGUUGGUAAGGUAAUGGCUUACCAAGGCGACGAUCAGUAGCCGACCUGAGAGGGUGAACGGCCACACCGGAACUGAGACACGGUCCAGACUCCUACGGGAGGCAGCAGUGGGGAAUAUUGCACAAUGGGCGCAAGCCUGAUGCAGCAACGCCGCGUGAAUGAUGAAGGCCUUCGGGUCGUAAAGUUCUGUCCAAAGGGAAGAAUACAGUGACGGUACCUUUGGAGGAAGCCCCGGCUAACUACGUGCCAGCCGCCGCAGUAA
rnacentral:rRNA from 1 species